GAUCAUCAGUAUCCCUGAUUUCCACUCAGCCCAGGUCUCGCCUCACACUGCUGCAGAUCUGGCAGUUGAGCAACAAGCACUGAGAGCUGGAAUCUCUUCCCACCAGGGGAUUUCCAGGUGAAUUACUUUGAGGGCUUCACACUUUCCUUGGCCAAUGAACCAAAUCAGAAAGGUGACGAGACCCUGCACCUGAAGCCACGACUGAGGCUUUUUCACUCCAGAGCCACAGAUCAUGAGGAUGACAACAAAGAGAAUCCAGGAAUCAUCCAGGCAGCAGAUAAAGAAGAAUAGGAAGCCUCACACCACCUUCUCCACCCCAGGCAGGACCAGGUCGGCCACAGAAGAGCAUUUCUGAGCCUGCUGCUGCCUUUGGCCCCAGCUUCUGCUUUAAAAACCAAUGAGCAACUUGGAACCCAGCCUGAAGGCUGAGCCUGACCUGCCCUGAGGAGCACAUGGGCUCUGCCAGCAAUGCCACAGCACAGGCAGGGCCACAGCCCGGGAUGAUUCCCAUGAUCCACCCCUAGAGGAGGCAUUCCAGGCUGGUUCUAUCCCCACUGGGUGCAGCUGGGCUUCCCACUUUGCUUCCUUGCAGUGAAACAAGCUCCUGCACAAGAUGAUUCCAAUCAAUGCCAAACUUUGCCUCUAUCCAUUGCCUCUC